UACGAAGGGGGCUAGCGUUGCUCGGAAUCACUGGGCGUAAAGGGUGCGUAGGCGGGUCUUUAAGUCAGGGGUGAAAUCCUGGAGCUCAACUCCAGAACUGCCUUUGAUACUGAGGAUCUUGAGUCCGGGGAGAGGUGAGUGGAACUGCGAGUGUAGAGGUGAAAUUCGUAGAUAUUCGCAAGAACACCAGUGGCGAAGGCGGCUCACUGGCCCGGUACUGACGCUGAGGCACGAAAGCGUGGGGAGCAAACAGGG
rnacentral:rRNA from 1 species